rnacentral:lncRNA from 1 species
AUGCACAGCUUCUCCGCGGUCAGCGGGCUGGUCUCUUUGAGUUUGGAGGCCAGGAACAUGCAGACAGCACCCAGGAGUUGCAGAUGGGACUUCGGAGUCGGGACCCCAGCCAAGAAACGGUCCAGGUGUAAGCCUUUUUCUGGUUCACUACAUGCCAAGGACUGCGCUAAAUCAUUCACAUAAAACCACCAGCGUGCAUCACCUCAUUUGGUCCUCCCACAGUCUAACGGAAGAAUCUACCAUAAAACCAACAGACUCCUCCUGAUCUCUACCUGUGCUGUCUGCCUCUCUAGUUCCGGACACUGAGAGCUGGUGCCCUGUGGCCACCUCAAGCUGGAACCCUGCAAGAUCACCAAGAAGACUGCAUGCCUCGCUCUAGCCUUCCUAAGGGAAAGUAGACUCCUGUUUUUGAGAGAAAUUACCUGAUUUCAAGAGAAACAUAAAGGACUUUUUUUCCCUUAACAUUCCACUCGUAAAAAUGAAGUUUGGAAGAACUUCUGCAAACUCUGAGUGUUUUGGUCAAUUGACCUUUUACUGUACUAAGCAAAUCUGAAGCCACAAAUACAUUGGGGAGGAAGGUAUACCCUUCACAAAAGAUCCGUCACUUAGCCAGAUACUCUGUUGCCAUGCUUCUUUAAAUAAAGCACAUUUCUG